UACGUAGGGGGCAAGCGUUGUCCGGAUUCAUUGGGCGUAAAGAGCGUGUAGGCGGCCAGGUAGGUCGGUUGUGAAAACUGGAGGCUCAACCUUCAGAGGUCGACCGAAACCAUCUGGCUAGAGUCCGGGAGAGGAGAGUGGAAUUCCUGGUGUAGCGGUGAAAUGCGCAGAUAUUAGGAGGAACACCGGUGGCGAAGGCGCCGCUCUGGGCCAUUACUGACGCUGAGGAGCGAAAGCGUGGGGAGCGAACAGG
rnacentral:rRNA from 1 species